rnacentral:rRNA from 1 species
AUUGAACGCUGGCGGCAGGCCUAACACAUGCAAGUCGAGCGGAUGAAGGGAGCUUGCUCCUGGAUUCAGCGGCGGACGGGUGAGUAAUGCCUAGGAAUCUGCCUGGUAGUGGGGGAUAACGUCCGGAAACGGGCGCUAAUACCGCAUACGUCCUGAGGGAGAAAGUGGAGGAUCUUCGGACCUCACGCUAUCAGAUGAGCCUAGGUCGGAUUAGCUAGUUGGUGGGGUAAAGGCCUACCAAGGCGACGAUCCGUAACUGGUCUGAGAGGAUGAUCAGUCACACUGGAACUGAGACACGGUCCAGACUCCUACGGGAGGCAGCAGUGGGGAAUAUUGGACAAUGGGCGAAAGCCUGCUCCAGCCAUGCCGCGUGUGUGAAGAAGGUCUUCGGAUUGUAAAGCACUUUAAGUUGGGAGGAAGGGCAGUAAGUUAAUACCUUGCUGUUUUGACGUUACCAACAGAAUAAGCACCGGCUAACUUCGUG